rnacentral:rRNA from 1 species
GGCCUUCCGUAGGUGAACCUGCGGAAGGAUAUUAUU